rnacentral:rRNA from 1 species
UACGAAGGGGGCUAGCGUUGUUCGGAUUUACUGGGCGUAAAGCGCGCGUAGGCGGGUCGCUAAGUCAGGGGUGAAAUCCCGAGGCUUAACCUCGGAACUGCCUUUGAUACUGACGACCUGGAGAUCGGGAGAGGUUGGUGGAAUUCCGAGUGUAGAGGUGAAAUUCGUAGAUAUUCGGAGGAACACCAGAAGCGAAGGCGGCCAACUGGCCCGAUACUGACGCUGAGGCGCGAAAGCGUGGGGAGCAAAC